GACGAACGCUGGCGGCGUGCUUAACACAUGCAAGUCGAACGAAGAGCGAUGGAAGCUUGCUUCUCUCAAUCUUAGUGGCGCACGGGUGAGUAACGCGUAAUCAACCCGCCCUUCAGAGGGGGACAACAGUUGGAAACGACUGCUAAUACCGCAUACGAUCUAAUCUCGGCAUCGAGGAUAGAUGAAAGGUGGCCUCUACAUGUAAGCUAUCACUGAAGGAGGGGAUUGCGUCUGAUUAGCUAGUUGGAGGGGUAACGGCCCACCAAGGCGAUGAUCAGUAGCCGGUCUGAGAGGAUGAACGGCCACAUUGGGACUGAGACACGGCCCAGACUCCUACGGGAGGCAGCAGUGGGGAAUCUUCCGCAAUGGACGAAAGUCUGACGGAGCAACGCCGCGUGAGUGAUGACGGCCUUCGGGUUGUAAAGCUCUGUUAAUCGGGACGAAAGGCCUUCUUGCGAAUAGUGAGAAGGAUUGACGGUACCGGAAUAGAAAGCCACGGCUAACUACGUG
rnacentral:rRNA from 1 species